GGCUUCACACAUGCUACAAUGGCCGGUACAGAGGGCAGCGAUACCGUGAGGUGGAGCGAAUCCCUUAAAGCCGGUCUCAGUUCGGAUCGGGGUCUGCAACUCGACCCCGUGAAGUUGGAGUCGCUAGUAAUCGCAGAUCAGCAACGCUGCGGUGAAUACGUUCCCGGGCCUUGUACACACCGCCCGUCACGUCAUGAAAGUCGGUAACACCCGAAGCCGCUGGCCUAACCCGUAAGGGAGGGAGGCGUCGAAGGUGGGAUUGGCGAUUGGGACGAAGUCGUAACAAGGUAGCCGUACCGGAAGGUGCGGCUGGAUCACCUCCUU
rnacentral:rRNA from 1 species